UUUCCGUAGGUGAACCUGCGGAAGGAUCAUUAUUAUUUUGUGAUUGUUUUUGUUUGUGUGUGGUUUGAUUGGAUUGUUUUGAAUGAUUCAAGAAGAAAAAAAAAGGGCUUACAAGCUUGUUCAGAGAAAAAAAAUAAUACACAACUCUUGGCAAUGGAUACCUUGGUUCCC
rnacentral:misc_RNA from 1 species